GCCAUGAGAUGAUCUGUCCUAGCCUGACCUUGUAGAGUAAAGGCAAAAAAAAUUGAUUUAAUGAGAAAAAAAAUACCCUUG